GUGCUCGCUUUGGCAGCACAUAUACUAAAAUUGGAACGAUACAGAGAAGAUUAGCAUGGCCCCUGUGCAUAAAAUGCGCUUCUGUUUGGAACCAGAAAAAUUG